rnacentral:tRNA from 1 species
GACUGGAUAGCUCAGCUGGUUAGAGAGCAGUACUGAUAAUGCCAAGGUUGCAGGUUCAAUCCCUGUAUGGGACA